AUACGGAGGUGGCGAGCGUUGCCCGGAAUCACUGGGCGUAAAGGGGGCGUAGGCGGCCGGACGGGUCGGACGUGAAAGCCCGGGGCUCAACCCCGGAAUUGCGUUCGAUACUGUCUGGCUUGAGGUCCGGAGAGGCCGGCGGAAUUCCCGGUGUAGGGGUGAAAUCCGUAGAUAUCGGGAGGAACACCGGUGGCGAAGGCGGCCGGCUGGACGGCACCUGACGCUGAGGCCCGAAAGCGUGGGGAGCAAACCGGAUUAGAAACCCUAGUAGUCC
rnacentral:rRNA from 1 species